rnacentral:rRNA from 1 species
CAUUGAAACACCGGUUCCUGUACAAUCACCAAAGUUAAGCCACAUUGAACCUGGUCAGUACCUAGAUAGGUGACUACUUUGGAAGACCAGGUGCUGUAA